CCUACGGGAGGCUGCAGUGGGGAAUAUUGCACAAUGGGGGAAACCCUGAUGCAGCGACGCCGCGUGAGUGAAGAAGUAUCUCGGUAUGGAAAGCUCUAUCAGUAGGGAAGAAAAUGACGGUACCUGACUAAGAAGCCCCGGCUAACUACGUGCCAGCAGCCGCGGUAAUACGUAGGGGGCAAGCGUUAUCCGGAUUUACUGGGUGUAAAGGGAGCGUAGACGGCCAGACAAGUCAGAAGUGAAAGGCCAGGGGUCAACCCUGGGACUGCUUUUGAAACUGCCGGGCUGGAGUGCAGGAGAGGUAAGCGGAAUUCCUAGUGUAGCGGUGAAAUGCGUAGAUAUUAGGAGGAACACCAGUGGCGAAGGCGGCUUACUGGACUGUAACUGACGUUGAGGCUCGAAAGCGUGGGGAGCAAACAGGAUUAGAUACCCUAGUAGUC
rnacentral:rRNA from 1 species